rnacentral:rRNA from 1 species
AACGAACGCUGGCGGCAUGCCUAACACAUGCAAGUCGAACGGGAUCCUAGCUUGCUAGGUGAGAGUGGCGGACGGGUGAGUAACACGUGGGAAUCUGCCUUUUGGUUCGGGAUAACCGCGGGAAACUGCGGACUAAUACCGAAUGCCCUCGAGAGAGGAAAGAUUUAUCGCCAGAAGAGGAGCCCGCGUCCGAUUAGGUAGUUGGUGGGGUAAAGCCUACCAAGCCGACGAUCGGUAGCUGGUCUGAGAGGAUGAUCAGCCACACUGGACUGAGAUACGGCCCAGACUCUACGGGAGGCAGCAGUGGGGAAUAUUGGACAAU